AAGAUGCACUUUUUGGAUACAAGGUAACAUUUACAUAUAGCAUAUGGUUAUUUUAUUCUGCUUUGAUGACUUCAGAUAUAGCAAAAACUGGGGACAUUUAUGAAAUUGUGUAUGUUGUGCGGAAUACCUGAUAAUUUUUAUUUUCAAUUGCUUCAAGUUUGUUAUAUUUAUGACUUAUUUAUCCUGCAUAUUACUGUUCUAAUUUAUAAUGACAAACUCUUCAGACUCAACAAUAAAUAUUGCAAGUAAACAUAUUUCUGCAUGGGAUAUCAAAUUUGAAUCAGAAAAUAAUUUUUGGAUAAAAUGGAUAGAUUUACUGCUGUCUAGGGAUUAAUUAACUUAAUGACAAGUUCAGUAUUUUUAUUUGAGUUGAAAAAAAAAAAAUGAAUGGUAGACCAAGAAAAUGUGUUCCUUUCUUAAAUAUGGGAUGGUAGACUGAAAGAAGUUGACAGCUUUUGAAGUUCUGCCGCGAAAAACUUGGCAGAUGCAGAACUGCUCAUGACCUUCUAAUUUCAUUUUAUUAUAUCCUAUUUAUUUAUUUGUCUAUUUUGGUUUAAUGACUGUCUGUGUCAUCUCAACAAUGGCAGUUGACAUAUGUGUAUUGAAAAUUGGGAAAAAAAUAUAAAAAGGUGCCUUGAGGUUUUGCACCUUCAUACUCAGCGGCUUGUGGUUCAAUUUUUGACAAA
rnacentral:misc_RNA from 1 species